rnacentral:rRNA from 1 species
CCCUUAGAUGUUCGGGGCCGCACGCGCGCUACACUGAAGGACUCAGCGUAUCUCUCCCCCUAUCCCGAAAGGGAUGGGCAACCCGUUGAACCUCCUUCGUGCUAGGGAUUGGGGUUUGCAAUUAUCCCCCAUGAACGAGGAAUUCCCAGUAAGCGCGAGUCAUCAGCUCGCGUUGAUUACGUCCCUGCCCUUUGUACACACCGCCCGUCGCACCUACCGAUUGAAUGGUCCGGUGAAUUCGUUGGACUGGCAAUAGCCGGAAAAUCGAGUGAACCUUACUAUUUAGAGGAAGGUGAAGUCGUAACA